rnacentral:rRNA from 3 species
ACAACUUUCAACAACGGAUCUCUUGGCUCUCGCAUCGAUGAAGAACGCAGCGAAAUGCGAUAAGUAAUGUGAAUUGCAGAAUUCAGUGAAUCAUCGAAUCUUUGAACGCACCUUGCGCUCCUUGGUAUUCCGAGGAGCAUGCCUGUUUGAGUGUCAUGA